rnacentral:rRNA from 1 species
GCUCAACCGCAGAGCGGCACCUGAAACUGGUCAGCUUGAGUGCAGGAGAGGGGAGCGGAAUUCCCGGUGUAGCGGUGGAAUGCGUAGAGAUCGGGAGGAACACCAGUGGCGAAGGCGGCUCUCUGGCCUGUAACUGACGCUGAGGCGCGAAAGCGUGGGGAGCAAACAGGAUUAGAUACCCUGGUAGUCCACGCCGUAAACGAUGAGUGCUAGGUGUUGGGGGGCUACGCCCCUCAGUGCCUAAGGUAACCCAUUAAGCACUCCCCCUGGGGGGGACGGGCGCCAGGAUGAAACUCCAAAGAAUUGACGGGGGCCCCCCCCAACCGUGGAACAUGUGGGUUAAUUCGAAGCAACUCGAAAAACCUUUUAAGGCUUGACAUCCCUCUGACCCCUCUAGAGAUGGAGGUUCCCUUUUUGACACCGAUGACAGGUGGUGCAUGGGUGUCGUCAGCUCGUGUCCUGAGAUGUUGGGUUCAGUCCCGCAACGAGCGCAACCCCUGUCGUUAGUUGCCAGCAUUUCUGAUGGGCACUCUAACGAGACAGCCGGUGAGACCCGGAGGAAUGUGGGGAAGAAGUCAAAUCAUCAUGCCCCUUAUGUCCUGGGCGUCAUGAGUGGUACAAUGGCUGGGACAAAG